AGUGAACGCUGGCGGUAGGCCUAACACAUGCAAGUCGAACGGCAGCACAGUAAGAGCUUGCUCUUACGGGUGGCGAGUGGCGGACGGGUGAGGAAUACAUCGGAAUCUACUUUUUCGUGGGGGAUAACGUAGGGAAACUUACGCUACUACCGCAUACGACCUACGGGUGAAAGCAGUGGAUCUUCGGACCUUGCGCGAUUGAAUGAGCCGAUGUCGGAUUAGCUAGUUGGCGGGGUAAAGGCCCACCAAGGCGACGCUCCGUAGCUGGUCUGAGAGGAUGAUCGGCCAAACUGGAACUGAGACACGGUCCAGACUCCUACGGGAGGCAGCAGUGGGGAAUAUUGGACAAUGGGCGCAAGCCUGAUCCAGCCAUACCGCGUGGGUGAAGAAGGCCUUCGGGUUGUAAAGCCCUUUUGUUGGGAAAGAAAAGCAGCAGGUUAAUACCCCGCUGUUCUGACGGUACCCAAAGAAUAAGCACCGGCUAACUUCGUG
rnacentral:rRNA from 1 species